CAUAUAGUCUGCUUUAUUAUUUGACAGUAGGGAGAAGGCAAUGGACAGGAUUAAAUAACAGGUUAAGACUCAGGGGGAAACAUUUAAAGAUUACCUAUCACUCUUCUCUCUCUGUCUCUCUCGUUCUGAUUUGUUCAACAAUUUCUUUUCUUAAAAUAUAUACUUUAAUUUGAAAACCAUUCAGGUGAAAUUAGUAAUAAGUCACAGUAAUAGAUAUAAGUAAUAGAAAUUGUGGGGAAUAAUUUUCUUAACCAAAGGCAAAUCUUUCUCAGGUUAAAAUAGAUAUGUAGAAAUUAAACUUCACCCUUAAGAUGCUAUCUUUUA
rnacentral:lncRNA from 1 species